rnacentral:sRNA from 1 species
AUAAUUUAUAAACAUAUCAUAAAUAAGAUCAACAUUAAUAAAUAAAUAGUUUUUUUUACGGGACGGGUUUGGCAGGACGUUACUUAAUAACAAUUGUAAACUUUAAAAUAAAAAUAUUUUAUAUAUAGAUACAAUUUGCAAACUUUUAUAUAUAUUAAAAAAUUAAUUGUCCCCGCGGUGUACCACGGGUUAAAAUCUAGUAGUACAUAUAUCUUAAACUAUAGAAAAUCAAACAAAGUGCAAAAUUUAGUCAUU